GAUGAACGCUGGCGGCGUGCUUAACACAUGCAAGUCGAACGGAGUACCCCUGAAGGAGUUUUCGGACAACUGAUGGGACUACUUAGUGGCGGACGGGUGAGUAACGCGUGAGUAACCUGCCUUGGAGUGGGGAAUAACAGCUGGAAACAGCUGCUAAUACCGCAUAAUAUAUCUGUGUCGCAUGGCAGUGGAUAUCAAAGAUUUAUCGCUCUGAGAUGGACUCGCGUCUGAUUAGCUAGUUGGCGGGGUAACGGCCCACCAAGGCGACGAUCAGUAGCCGGACUGAGAGGUUGGCCGGCCACAUUGGGACUGAGACACGGCCCAGACUCCUACGGGAGGCAGCAGUGGGGAAUAUUGGGCAAUGGGCGCAAGCCUGACCCAGCAACGCCGCGUGAAGGAAGAAGGCUUUCGGGUUGUAAACUUCUUUUCUCAGGGACGAAGCAAGUGACGGUACCUGAGGAAUAAGCCACGGCUAACUACGUGCCAGCAGCCGCGGUAAUACGUAGGUGGCAAGCGUUAUCCGGAUUUACUGGGUAUAAAGGGCGUGUAGGCGGGACUGCAAGUCAGAUGUGAAAACCACGGGCUCAACCUGUGGCCUGCAUUUGAAACUGUAGUUCUUGAGUACUGGAGAGGCAGACGGAAUUCCUGGUGUAGCGGUGAAAUGCGUAGAUAUUAGGAGGAACACCAGUGGCGAAGGCGGUCUGCUGGACAGCAACUGACGCUGAGGCGCGAAAGCGUGGGGAGCAAACAGGAUUAGAUACCCUGGUAGUCCACGCUGUAAACGAUGGAUACUAGGUGUGGGGGGACUGACCCCCUCCGUGCCGCAGUUAACACAAUAAGUAUCCCACCUGGGGAGUACGAUCGCAAGGUUGAAACUCAAAGGAAUUGACGGGGGCCCGCACAAGCGGUGGAGUAUGUGGUUUAAUUCGAAGCAACGCGAAGAACCUUACCAGGGCUUGACAUCCCGGUGACCGCUGUAGAGAUACAGUUUUCCCUUCGGGGACACUGGUGACAGGUGGUGCAUGGUUGUCGUCAGCUCGUGUCGUGAGAUGUUGGGUUAAGUCCCGCAACGAGCGCAACCCUUAUUGUUAGUUGCUACGCAAGAGCACUCUAGCGAGACUGCCGUUGACAAAACGGAGGAAGGUGGGGACGACGUCAAAUCAUCAUGCCCCUUAUGUCCUGGGCCACACACGUACUACAAUGGUGGUCAACAGAGGGAAGCAAUACCGCGAGGUGGAGCAAAUCCCUAAAAGCCAUCCCAGUUCGGAUCGCAGGCUGCAACCCGCCUGCGUGAAGUUGGAAUCGCUAGUAAUCGCGGAUCAGCAUGCCGCGGUGAAUACGUUCCCGGGCCU
rnacentral:rRNA from 1 species